rnacentral:rRNA from 1 species
AGUGAACGCUGGCGGUAGGCCUAACACAUGCAAGUCGAACGGCAGCACAGUAAGAGCUUGCUCUUACGGGUGGCGAGUGGCGGACGGGUGAGGAAUACAUCGGAAUCUACUUUUUCGUGGGGGAUAACGUAGGGAAACUUGCGCUAAUACCGCAUACGACCUACGGGUGAAAGCAGGGGAUCUUCGGACCUUGCGCGAUUGAAUGAGCCGAUGUCGGAUUAGCUAGUUGGCGGGGUAAAGGCCCACCAAGGCGACGAUCCGUAGCUGGUCUGAGAGGAUGAUCAGCCACACUGGAACUGAGACACGGUCCAGACUCCUACGGGAGGCAGCAGUGGGGAAUAUUGGACAAUGGGCGCAAGCCUGAUCCAGCCAUACCGCGUGGGUGAAGAAGGCCUUCGGGUUGUAAAGCCCUUUUGUUGGGAAAGAAAAGCAGCAGGUUAAUACCCCGCUGUUCUGACGGUACCCAAAGAAUAAGCACCGGCCAACUUCGUG